rnacentral:rRNA from 1 species
GUCUACAGCCAUGCCACCCUGAACGCACCCGAUCUCCUCUGAUCUCGGAAGCUAAGUAGUGUCGGGCCUGGUUAGUACUUGGAUGGGAGACCACCUAGGAAUACCAGGUGGUGUAGGUG